rnacentral:rRNA from 1 species
GCUUACGGCCACACCGCCUGGUUCACGCCUGAUCUCGGAAGCUAAGAUAGGUUGGUCCUGGUUAUUGCUUGGAUGGGAGACCGCCUGGGAAUACCAGGUGCUGUAAGCU